rnacentral:rRNA from 1 species
GUGGGGAAUCUUGCGCAAUGGGCGAAAGCCUGACGCAGCCAUGCCGCGUGAAUGAUGAAGGUCUUAGGAUUGUAAAAUUCUUUCACCGGGGACGAUAAUGACGGUACCCGGAGAAGAAGCCCCGGCUAACUUCGUGCCAGCAGCCGCGGUAAUACGAAGGGGGCUAGCGUUGCUCGGAAUUACUGGGCGUAAAGGGCGCGUAGGCGGAUCGUUAAGUCAGGGGUGAAAUCCCAGAGCUCAACUCUGGAACUGCCCUUGAUACUGGCGAUCUUGAGUGUGAGAGAGGUAUGUGGAACUCCGAGUGUAGAGGUGAAAUUCGUAGAUAUUCGGAAGAACACCAGUGGCGAAGGCGACAUACUGGCUCAUUACUGACGCUGAGGCGCGAAAGCGUGGGGAGCAAACAGGAUUAGAUACCCCUGUAGUCC